UGGGCUGCUUAUCGAUUUCUGAGCGUC
rnacentral:piRNA from 1 species